UUUGACAUAAAACAUUAGUGAAGUUUGGGGAGUAUACUUUGUACACAUACCUUAACCCUACCAUGGGGUAGCAGGCUGCUUUUGGAAGAAACUAGGCUCAACAUACGAAAUAAAAAUGAUUCCUAGUAAAAAUAAUGUUGUUUAUACUAUUCAAUUAACUAACUCAGAAUACAAAAAUAAGUUAAACGAAAUUUGUUUGCAGAAUUACAAAGCUGGCUUAUUCAAAUAACUUAGUAGUAAUUCAGAUUCAAAUAAAUUAGUAAUAAUUCAAUAACAUAGAAGAGCUAAGAGGAGAGUUAAAUACCUCUAUACAAGGAUGGUAAUGGUGGCAACAGAAAUGGCGACAGCUGCAACGGCGACUUGCUGUCGACUAAGGAGAGAGGAGACAAAACACAUUAGUUGUAAUUUGGGUUGAAUUCGUCUCUGGUCUGAGUUUGGAAUGGGCUG
rnacentral:lncRNA from 1 species